rnacentral:lncRNA from 1 species
CCUAUAAAGUCAAUACGCUGAGGUUAUUGGGAAUUCAUAUAACAAGUAUCAGCUGGGCUGUGUUUUCGAAUUCUAAUGUUAUUCAAACAAAAUGAACCUCUGUAUUUGAAUAGCAAUAAACUUCCCACAUACAUUGUAGGAACCUUCUGAUCCGGAACCAAGGAAACGUUCAUAGUUUGGGUCCUUUAUGUCCGCCUCCCUUCUAACUAUUGGUCAUGGCAGGUUAAACGUGGUCAUGUAAAGAAAGUGUCUGUCCUCAAACUUUGUGUAGGUAUUGCUAAACAAGUUCCAUUGAUACUGUGUACAGUGGGAUUGAGAUUGAUAUGAUUGUACAUGUAUUUCGAAAAAUCUAUUUGAAGAUCCACAUUACAGUAAAGGGGUUGGGCUUGGGGGGACUGGCGGAUUGUCUCAACACUUGAGGGGAACGUUUUAUCCAGACUUAGAACAGAGCCAUCUUAACGGAUUUAUUUUGACCUUGAAAUAAAUUUUUCGCUUGUGUCAUCUUAAAGUGUUGCCUUAAUCCAAGGUAGUACAACGUGCACAAUUUUAGAGACAAAACAAUAUUCUAACUAAUAACAAAUGUCUGUUAUAACAUUAUAUUCUGAUUUGUUGUAUGUAGACCAUGGCGAUCAAGAUUCGAAUAACCGCUACUACACUGUGAAGGCGUGAUCAGUCAGCAAUCAGUUGCCUUCUCCCAGCUGGAUUUGAAGAGGUAGCUGUCAUCGCUAUCAGUAGCUGGCGUGUGUACAUCAAGUAACAUAGAUACGCAGAUGGCUCAGUCGCCCAAGCCAGAUCUGGAGUUGCAGCCUCUAGGCGUGACGAGAUCCACUCAUCUCGAGUUGGAAUGUCAUAAUCUCUGGAUUUGACCACAGUGUAUGUUUGUUUUUAGCCAGCACUCACCAACAUUCCAGCAACAUGGCAGCUGUCGUCUGAGACCUAAAUCAAUAAUUUCCUGAUACUGAGUUUGACAUACCGCGGCAGAGGUGAAAUACUGUUCAAAGGGGACCUAAAACCAACUCACUCACUCUUACUUGCGAUAACAUACGGUCGGCCCCAGUGUUACCGAGUGUUCUGGUGUUCCUCAAUCUUGAUGAUGCUUGAAAAGUGCUGGAGACCGGCGUAAAAUCAUACUGAUUUACUGAUUCGCUUUGUUGUACUAUGCUGUUCUGUACUGAAUAUCAAUCUUCGGUUAGCUUGCUGGUGAGGUCGCUUUGUUGUACUAUGCUGUUCUGUAAUGAAUAUCUAUCUUCUGUUAGCUUGCUGGUGAGGUCGCUUUGUUGUACUAUGCUGUUCUGUAAUGAAUAUCUAUCUUCGGUUAGCUUGCUGGUGAGGUCGCUUUGUUGUACUAUGCUGUUCUGUAAUGAAUAUCUAUCUUCGGUUAGCUUGCUGGUGAGGUCGCUUUGUUGUACUAUGCUGUUCUGUAAUGAAUAUCUAUCUUCUGAUAGCUUGCUGGUGAGGUCGCUUUGUUGUACUAUGCUGCUCUGUAAUGAAUAUCUAUCUUCUGUUAGCUUGCUGGUGAGGUAAUCAUUGAAUCAAUGACAGAUGUAAUAUGCAAUGUGCUUUGGCUUUGAAUAAAGCAAGAAAUACAAAA